ACCUGUUCUGCAUGAUGCUCCAGACCAGCAAACUCCUCAGAGCACUCCAAAGACAAAUCAGUCUUCUGUCACCCACUCCAGAAGUGUUCUUCCAGAGGUGUCCAACACCAUUUUCCAAGUUGAUGGUGUGGACUGGACUAAACAAGCUGA